rnacentral:rRNA from 1 species
UACAGAGGUCUCAAGCGUUGUUCGGAUUCAUUGGGCGUAAAGGGUGCGUAGGUGGCAUGGUAAGUCGGAUGUGAAAUCCCGGGGCUUAACCCCGGAACUGCAUUCGAUACUGCUGAGCUAGAGUACUGGAGAGGAGAUUGGAAUUUACGGUGUAGCAGUGAAAUGCGUAGAUAUCGUAAGGAAGACCAGUGGCGAAGGCGGAUCUCUGGACAGUUACUGACACUGAGGCACGAAGGCCAGGGGAGCAAACGGG